AGCGAACGCUGGCGGCAGGCCUGACACAUGCAAGUCGAACAAACUCUUCGGAGUUAGUGGCGGACGGGUGAGUAACACGUGGGAACGUGCCUUUAGGUUCGGAAUAACUCAGGGAAACUUGUGCUAAUACCGAAUGUGCCCUUCGGGGGAAAGAUUUAUCGCCUUUAGAGCGGCCCGCGUCUGAUUAGCUAGUUGGUGAGGUAAUGGCUCACCAAGGCGACGAUCAGUAGCUGGUCUGAGAGGAUGACCAGCCACACUGGGACUGAGACACGGCCCAGACUCCUACGGGAGGCAGCAGUGGGGAAUCUUGCGCAAUGGGCGAAAGCCUGACGCAGCCAUGCCGCGUGAAUGAUGAAGGUCUUAGGAUUGUAAAAUUCUUUCACCGGGGACGAUAAUGACGGUACCCGGAGAAGAAGCCCCGGCUAACUUCGUGUCAGCAGCCGCGGUAA
rnacentral:rRNA from 1 species